CCUACGGGAGGCAGCAGUGGGGAAUAUUGCACAAUGGGGGAAACCCUGAUGCAGCGACGCCGCGUGAGUGAAGAAGGACUUCGGUAUGUAAAGCUCUAUCAGCAGGGAAGAAGAAAGACGGUACCUGACUAAGAAGCCCCGGCGAACUACGUGCCAGCAGCCGCGGUAAUACGUAGGGGGCAAGCGUUAUCCGGAUUUACUGGGUGUAAAGGGAGCGUAGACGGCUGUGCAAGUCUGAAGUGAAAGCCCAGGGCUCAACCCUGGGACUGCUUUGGAAACUGUGGAGCUAGAGUGCUGGAGAGGUAAGUGGAAUUCCUGGUGUAGCGGUGAAAUGCGUAGAUAUUAGGAGGAACACCAGUGGCGAAGGCGGCUUACUGGACCGUAACUGACGUUGAGGCUCGAAAGCGUGGGGAGCGAACAGGAUUAGAUACCCUUGUAGUC
rnacentral:rRNA from 1 species